CGAACUUGGAUUUUUACUAAGGGGUUCAAAAUAUGAAAAGUGAACACAAAAAGUUGAAGGGGGUUCAACAUCACCAAUUUUAUGUUGUUCUUGGUUCAGUUUUGUUUCGAAUGUGGAUUUUUUUUUCUUUUUAAUAAAGGGAUGACCUUUUACACUUCUCGUAUGCUCGUAAGUUACUAGAUAGUGGCCGGCCAAGGAAUUUCACUUAGGGGUUUAGAAUUUGAAAAGUAAACAUACAAAGAAGUCGAAAGGGUUCAACCGCCCAAUGAAAUGUCCUUUUUUUUUACACUUCUCCUAUGCUGUUGGAUAGUCGUAGUUGUUUAUAUGUUGAAUGUGAUACAGUUAGUUUGAAAGGAAAUACUACAUGACUUGUUUUGUAAGGAAGAAAUUUCAGGGGUCAUUUGGUUUGCUAACUAGUUAUACCGGGAUUAUAAUGCGGGGUAUAUAAUAUCCCAGUGUAGUCCCUCAAGUGGGGUCUGAGCAGGUAGUAUGUAGACAGACCUUACCCCUACCGCGGGAGGUAGAGAGGCUUUAUGGUUAAUAAUGGAUUUAUUUAAUGGAUAUACGUUUUUUAGUAUAUGUUUUUUUUUUCAUUGGAUUGAAAAUUAGGAUCUACCGUCUACGGAGUAUAAUAUAAAACAAUUUAACCUUGAUUUAAAGAACUUUAGGGAAAAGCUAUGGAUAAUGGUAUUUAUGUCAUCUGAUUGUCUUAUCCUGAGAUUGUUAUCCCACAUCGAAUGUGGUAUAGAAUAGUAACGAAAUUAUGGUAUAAUUAAUUCGGGGAACGACCCUCAGUGUUUUGUUUUUAAUUUUCUAUUUUGAUUCAAUUUAAGAUCUACCGGAAGGCUAUAGAUUUUGAUUGAUUAUUCUUGUGAAGUAAAGAUAACAUUUUUCAGAGGAAACUACUGGUAGAUUUUUUCCAUUCUUUUCCUCCGAGGCUUUUGGAUGUGUGGUAUAAGAGAAUGGGUAACGGUGCAUGACUCAUAGUCUACUUUGACAACCAAACCUAAUGCGAUUGCUGGAGUUGUGGCAUCUUUCAUGUCGUUCUCAAUUCUGAAAAGAUUGUGCGUAUAACCUUUUUCAGGAACUGAUCCCCCACUUUAUCAACCUAAAAAGGAUUUACUAGUGUCAUGCCGAGUAUCUAAUACAUGAUAGUUUCUUAAAGUGUUUUGUGGAGUAUCAACAACUUUGAAUUGUCUAGUGUGAUUGAGCUCUAUUUUAAUGCAUAAAGCAGGUUUAUUUUUGCGCCCCUUAAAUGGCUUCAGCUUUUAGUUCACUAGAUUCCUCCCUUAUUUUCAUGUCUAUUAUUCUCUUUGGAAAGCACCAAUUUGGUGGAUAUGCUUCUUCAGAUUCUCGUAUGUCACGUAAAUGUGUUGAGCAGUACCGUCAGGUAAUUGUUUGUUCUACUGGUUAGUUAUCCUCAUCGCCGUUGAUGGGUUGUUAGCUUUCUCAAAAUAGAAGCAUCUCUAAAAUUUUCUAGCUUUACACCGGUAACUUAAUUUUCUUGAUUCUUUAUUUCAUGCACUUUGAGUGUUCAUGCAAUUUUGUUAUAUAUUUGCCCUAGAUGUCAACACGAAGAGGUAGUACAGAAGUCCAUGAGUUCGAUGCAAUGUUUCUUGGAUCACGGGCACAUUAUAAAGUGACUUCAGUGAUUGGUCAUGUUUUCAGAUUUUCCGGCAGCUUUUCAAGAUUGGACAAAUACAAAUCCUUCAGAUCUUUUCCAGGCACCGGUACUUAAGAAGGAAACAAACCCAAAGGCUCAUAUUUGUAGGCAUCUAAGCCAGGAAGCCCGUGGUUGUACACAUUUGAUACUGUGGUUGGACUGUGACCGUGAAGGAGAAAAUAUAUGCUUUGAAGGUACUUUUCGAUCGUGACGUUAUUAUUUCACUUCAGGCAAAUACUUGCUACAAUGGUGAAACUCAUAGAUUGACUAGGCUUGAAAAAAUGUGUGGAUAGGGAACACACGACACUCUGCCCAUUUUCAAGCCCCCCCCACCGGCACAAAAAAAAUAAAAAGAGAAUGAGAAUUUAUAGACAAACAUCUUUUGCUUAACUGAUGUGGUAGAGAUUAAGUGGCAAAGGAAGGGAAGAGGAAAGAAGUACAUGUGAAAAAACAAGUACUGAUAGAGAGACUAAGUGGAAUUUGCUGCUACAACAGGGAAUUGAAUUGUAGCAGUUAUAAUAAAUACUACAAAGAGAUAACGAGAGGAAAUUGAAUGAGCAAUCAUACCUCCAGUUUGAAUCAUUCUUAUUUAGAAGUGUCAAAAUGUAUGGU